rnacentral:rRNA from 1 species
GACGAACGCUGGCGGCGUGCCUAACACAUGCAAGUCGAACGGGACCAGGGGCAACUCUGGUUCAGUGGCGGACGGGUGCGUAACACGUGAGGAACAUGACCUUCGGCGGGGGAGUAGCCGGCCCAACCGGCCGGGUAAGUACCGCGUACGACCUUCCGGGUACGAUCCCUCGGAGUGGUGAAAGACAGCAAUAGCGCCGAUGGAGUGCCUCGCGGCCUAUCAGCUAGUUGG